CCAACAAUGCAGACGAGCUGAAGGCCACUAUCAGAGCAACCUGGGCUCUCAUAACACCUGAAUGCAAGCAACCCUGAGUCUAUCACAGGGGACUCUGGACAGGGUGCCCACCCAUAACAGGGCACAGAUAAUCAGCCUACAACACGUGUUUGGCUUGAGGAGAAAACCAGAAUUCUUGGAGGAAUCCCAAAUCAUGAAGAGAACAUGCAAACUCCAUGCACAAAGGAAAGAGGCAGGAAUCAAACCCCCAACCUCAGAGGUCAGUCCUGUGCUGAUUAUGAAAGUAAGUAUUGCUGGUUUCCAGUGUGUGCUGUACCUCAUAGCGGUGUGCCGUUAAGCUGUGGAGUGUUUAUCAUUUUGGCCACCGAGGACCCGCUGCCUGCUUCAGACAGAGCCUGCACCUGCACCUUGUACACACACUUUGGCUGGAGCUGUUCCACCCUGACUGAGUGCUGAUCCUGCGCAAGAUUUAGUGUAUGAGAGAUGAGUGUGUCUGGAGAAUUGUUCACACAUCUGCUGGAGAUUUUGACCCAAGAGAACUGAAAUCCUGUGAUGGGUGUCUGGCCGGGUGCGGUCUCAGAUACCUUCCAGCUGAACAGACCUUCCAGGGAGCCGUUUACUGUCUGAAACUCUGCUAACAACUUCUCGGGCCGCUGCAGUGCUUUCUUUGCCUGUAGAUGGCGCUCUAGGACAAAACCCAUCAUCAUCAUCAUCAUCAGUGCAUGAUCACAAAUACCUAUACAAAACAUUUCUCACUUAAACACUUAAACAUGCUACUUUUUGAAAUACACUGAAUAUGUAUCAUAUAUCUGUUUACCACUAAGAAUAAUUCUGACAACCUGCUUAGUUAAAACUUUGAAUGGAAGUCUAAUGUCAGUUCUGUGGUUGGGGAUAACAUGCGUUUCAAAAUUUCAUGAAUGCUUGAAGUUAUUUUGUAGUUAUGUUUUACCUUUGUGUGGGUUUGAAGGCGAACACAAAGCUUUUUCAAAAGCAUUAAGCAACCCAAAUAACUGUAUUUGAUUGUAUUUAUUAUCCACUGUUGGAAAGUUGAAUAAAACAAUAUAACGUC